GUCACGUGAGGAGCACGCCGCCGCGCCGCCUUUCCAGAAGCCCGCGGAGAGUCGGGUGACGCCCUCCGGCUUCUCGCCGCCGUUCGCCGCGGUGAGGCAGAUGACUGGCAGGUCUUGGACUCCGCUCACAGGAGUUAGGAGGCCUAGGUCAAGUCACAGCCCUGACACUUCCUGGGAGUGACCUUGGUCAAGUCCCUGGGCCCCAAAUGCCUGUCUGAGAAGUAGCGCCUACCUCGCAUGUGUCCCUCAGCCCUUGGAAGAAUCCCUGGGAGCGACGGUGUGACUCUCACUGGUCAACUGGAGCUUGCACAACAGAGGUUCCUGGUGCCCACCCGAGACCUACUGCGUCAAAGUCUCCAAGAGGAGGGGCUCAGGAAUUGGUAUUUUACGAGAGGCACGUGCGAGCCUUGUGUUGCAGCAGCUGGGAAGCCCUGGACGAGACGUGGCAUGUUGCAAGGUCAGCAAGCCUGGGUUUGACUCCUAGACCCACCACUUCCAGGUUCUGUACCUGGGGCAAAGCCCUGCCCCGCUCUGAGCCUCAGUAUCCCCAUCUUCAAAAUGAGGGUCUUUCUGGGUGCCUGCCUUCUCAGUCCCUGAGGGGGGCUACCCAGGAUAGCAGACCCAGAGUGAUGGACGUCCAUUCUCCUUCACGUGCUGGGUGUGGAGGGGGCAAUGGACCUCAGGGGCUGGGUCACUGAAGCUCUAAAUGUCCCCCUUCUCUCUUGCUCCUGGGAAGAAGGGACCACAUCAUUCCCUCUAGAUCCUGCUCACCAUGGGCUGUGACCCUCCUCUGGAGGUGAGUCCAGCGCAUGAGCUCUGAGCCCCCGCUGCUCAAGCUAACUGCUUUUCCUAGCAGCCACUUCACUGUCUGAGCCUCUGACCCCUGUCUGCACAGAGGGGACUCCAUCAUGGGAGAUGAACGCAUGCUCAAUGUGAGGGGCACGUGGAGCAAGCCCAGCAGAAACGGGAACUCGAUCAUUGUUCUGUCACUGAGCAAUGCCUAUGGAGCGCCUGCUGCGAGCGGAAGCUCUCCUCGGUCCCUGCUCGCGCGGGAUUGCGUUCCAGUGGGGGCAGGAUGACCCAUAACGAGCAGGAUACAUGUUUAAUACUUAAAUGGUAAAGACACUGCACACAUUUGAUGUUUAAACAAUAAAGACAAUAAAUAGGUUUAAUAUUGAAAUAGACAAAUAUAAUUAUUUAAAUAGUAAACAACUGAUGCUUACUAUUUAAAUCAUAACUAUGGUAUGUCAGCAUUCAUUUGAACAGCAAAGACGGGAGUCAGAAGAGGCUGAGGUAGGGGAAUGGAGAACUCUGGGCCUCAAUCCAGAGAGGAAAAGAGCCUGCCGCUCUGACCCUCACUCCAUGGCAUUCAGUGGGCUAGGGGAUUGUCAACUUGUCACACAGACUCCACUUUCACCCUCUGCAGGAAGCCUUCUUGGAACCUCAGACUGAAGGUUGACGACCUUCAGGCAUGCUGAGGGUGUGCAUCCAACACUGUGUGUCAGCUUUGCAAUCGCUCCGUGAGGUUGCUUCUCGUGCCAUUUACGGUGGAGCAAGUGGAAGCUCUUUGCACCCCACCCCUGCCACACCACUGGGAAGGACAGAGUCAGGAUGCCAGCCUGGCAUGCCCCCAAGAAUGACAGCUCUUCCUUGUCUCACCUGCUUCCCACACUCCAGGUGGGCAGGGCUCCUUCUGAGCCUCCCUGGGUCCCCCAUCCCUGGCCCCAGCCCAGAAUGCUGCCCUCACAGGGGCAAAUGGUCAGGGGCUUGCUGAGGGUCACACCACGAGCUGGUAGCUAGGGUGACCACUGUUUCGGUGUGCCCGGGACCAUCCCAGUCUUGACACUGAGAGUCCUGCAUCCGGGCAAACCUCUCAAUCCUGGGCAGCCCAGGACACUCGGUCACCUACAAGCAGCCCAGGCACCUCCUGUCCUGCUCGCGUGGCCCCAGGCCUGAACUCAAGUUGUCUUUGAUGAAAGGAAACGCUCAGCUCAUGCGUCACAUUUGAGGCAAAGUCCAGGCUGCUGCAAGUCCUCUAACGCAGGGCCCAGCUCUUGUGUGGGCGCUUGCAGACGCGGCAGUGGAGGCGGACCUCUCCCUGGAGGGUGAGAGGCCUUAAAGACAGACCCAGCCUCUGCCCCAGUAGCGCCACUUCUAUGAGCUUUUCCUUAAGAAAAAACCCAGAGGGGCCGGCCACGGCCCCGUGGCCGAGUGGUUAAGUUUGCACGCUC